rnacentral:rRNA from 1 species
GUUAGGUAUAUUGGACAAUGGGCGCAAGCCUGAUCCAGCCAUGCCGCGUGAGUGAUGAAGGCCUUCGGGUUGUAAAGCUCUUUAGCCGAUGAUUAUAAUGACUGUAGUCGGAAAAUAAGCCCCGGCUAACUUCGUGCCAGCAGCCGCGGUAAUACGAAGGGGGCGAGCGUUAUUCGGAAUCACUGGGCGUAAAGCGUGCGUAGGCGGCUUUGCAAGUUGGGAGUGAAAGCCCAGGGCUCAACCCUGGAAUUGCUCUCAAAACUGCAAGGCUCGAAUUCGGGAGAGGAUAGCGGAAUUGUCAGUGUAGCAGUGAAAUGCGUAGAUAUUGACAGGAACACCAGUGGCGUAAGCGGCUAUCUGGACCGAUAUUGACGCUGAGGCACGAAAGCGUGGGAUCAAACAGGAUUAGAUACCCCGGUAGUCC